rnacentral:rRNA from 1 species
GUCUACGACCAUACCACCCUGAACAUGUCCGAUCUCGUCUGAUCUUGAAGCUAAGCAGGGUCCGGCCUGCUUAGUACUUGGAUAGGAAAAAUGAUGCUUUUGGCA